GUCGCGCAAGCGCCGAAGGCAGGAGCGGGGGAACCAAGGUAGGCGCCGGGAAAGGCCGUUGAGAGACGGCCCGCGUACCGGCUAGGGGUGAAGACACGCGCCGCGCCGCGUGACCGGGCAACUCAUCCGCCCGAACCCGACAGCUCACCUCGAAGGCGUCGGUGAGGAGAACU
rnacentral:sRNA from 2 species